GGGGAGGGCGGGGCGGCGCGCGGGUCCGCCCUCGCGCGAGGCUUAGUUUCCGGGCGCGCGCACCCCGUGUGUUCUUUUGCGGGGUCUUUCCCCACGAUUCGCGAUCUUAAAACCAAACGGCAGUCUGUAAAGGAGAACCUGCCAGCGCGCCCGGGAAAGUUCCCGCGGAUCGCCGAGCUGGGGAGCCGCCCAGGCAGUGCGGUGGGGCCGGCCGGGCGGAGGGGGCCGCGGCACAGACAGCGGGCCGCCACCACAGGCCCUGGACUCACGCUGGAAUUGACCUGUGACCAGCACGCGAGGCCGGGACCGUGGACCUGAUGCAGCCACACAGGCACCGUCCAAACCUACAGUUAAGUGAAAAGGCCAAGAGAAGUAACUAGAACAUAAUCAUCCCCAUCUAGUUCUUGUACAAAGUUGUUAUCAGUGGUGUGCAUGCUACUCAGGCACGGAGUAGCUCAGGAAGGAGCCUCAGGAGUUUGUACCGUGCAACGUUGGCGACGGUCUGGAUGGAGAAGGGCCUUGUAUGUUUUCAGAUUUUCCCCUCCUGGAUGUAUCAGAACAUUUUGUUGUCAAACAGAAGAGCCCGCCUUUGCUGUUUCAUCUAAGUCUUCAGUGCAUCUUUUGGGACACAGGCAAGGACAGUUGGACUAACCAGUGACAGAAAACAGGGCAGAGCUGCCAGUCACAGGUGCAUCUGACCCUGGAGUAACAGAGCUGCUCCACCCGCUGGCAGUUCCAACUCUAGGGUAACUGAGAGAGUUCCUCCACCCAAGUUCCAACUCUGGGGUAACAGUGGAGCUGCCCCUCACAGUUCUGAAUCUAGGGAGGUAAGGCUCCAGGAAAUGGGGGUGCGGGAGCCCCUCCACGCACAGUGUGACCCAGGAUGAGGCAGAUGGCUCACCCAGCCUGACCUUGGGGGACCUAAAUAGAAUCCCAUCUUUUCUCUGUCUAUUUCUUUUCUUUCUCUUAUUUCUUUCCAAAAAUACACAAGGGAUCUUAAAGACAUGUAGUUUAUCCUAAAUGAUUAUGGGUAACUCAUUGUUUACCCCCCAAACAUCACCUUUAGGUUAUCUUUUAUGGCUUGGGACGGAUUUAAGAUGGAGGAAUUUUAAAUGAUAAAUUUUUUUUUUUCCAAAUGUAAGAGACAAGGCCUCCAACUCGGUUCAUAACAAGGAGAGAAAAUGAACAAAGAUCUCAUCUAGCAAUCUACAACUCUUCUGACUCUUACUGGUUGUGUGUGAUAACUAACAAGAAAAAGGUACUCAAAGUAGCUUAAAGUAUAAAAGUAAAUUACUAAUGCUAAGAAUUACAUGAGGAAAAAAGCAUAAUUGAUAACCACUAAAGAAAGUUCUGACUAGACUAUAGUAAUUAUAAACAUAAAACUAUGGAAGAUUAUUAUAAUUCAGCAUGGCCUAAGAGUGCACCUUGAUUUAAUGUAAUUGUUUUAUGUGUUCUAUGUUUUCUUGACUGUCUGCCUGUUAAUCCUUUUUAAUAACUGGUUAAAGUACAUGCAGCUGCUUCAUUAAAAAUUUUUUGGGGGCCAGGGAUUUAGCUCAGUGGUUCCGCCGCCUGCCUCGAAAACACAAAGACCCAAGUUCGAUCCCCGGUACCAAAAAUAAAUAAAUUAAAAACUAAAAAAUAAAAUAAAAACUUUUUUGGAACUCAUAUCAGGUUUUUUGUUUUAUUUUGUUUUGUUUUUGUCCUUACAGACUUCUGGCUCUGUUAGGGCUUUCCAUAAAAAAAAAAAAGCAGUUAUACAAAUACUCAAGGAUCACCAAACUCACGUAAAACAUUAAAGGGUAAAAACUGCUAGGCUCAAGGCUUACAUAAAACUUGCAAAUAAGAACCUUAAAGUUUGGUAACAUAAAGGUUAUAUAUGAUUUAAGUUAAUACAUAUCUGUUUGUUAACUUUCAGGUAUGUUAUCCUCUAAAAGUUCUAUUUAAGUUGGCUUACACUGUAGAUAAAUGGACACUGAUGACAUUAGCCCAAAUGCUUUUGUUCACAUGGUUUAACAGUGACCUAAUUGAAAUGCUUAGUAGGUAAGAGUAAAGAUGUCUUUAAAGUUGGUGACAUGUUUUCAUCCAUGUUGUUAGCCAAUCAAGAUAAUAUUUUUCUGGGCCGGGGAUUUAGCUCAAUGGUUUCACCGCCUGCUGCGCAAGCGUAAGGACCCGAGUUCGAUCCCCGGUACCAAAAAAAAAAAAGAUAAUAUUUUUCUUUAAAAAAUUGUUUUUGGCCAGGCAUGGUGGCACAUGCCUGUAAUCCCAGCACUUGGGAGGCUGAGGCAGGAGGAUCACCUCAAGUCAGAGGCCGGCCUGGACUACAUAGGGAGACCAAAAAAAUUUUUGGUUGUAUAAAUGCAAUGUCCAUUGUUCUCUUUGUACAAGAACUUAAAAGAGUUUUCCCUUGAUUAAAUACUGGAUAUAUAUUUUUUAAUUAAAUUCAUGUAUAUUAUAUAUUGAAUU
rnacentral:lncRNA from 1 species